rnacentral:rRNA from 1 species
UACGUAGGGACCGAGCGUUGUCCGGAAUCAUUGGGCGUAAAGAGCGUGUAGGCGGCCCCUUAAGUCCUGCGUGAAAUCCUGCGGCUCAACCGCAGACGGUCGUGGGAAACUGGAGGGCUAGAGUGCGGGAGAGGAGAGUGGAAUUCCCGGUGUAGCGGUGAAAUGCGCAGAUAUCGGGAAGAACACCCGUGGCGAAAGCGGCUCUCUGGAACGGUACUGACGCUGAGACACGAAAGCGUGGGGAGCAAACAGG